CCUACGGGAGGCAGCAGUGAGGAAUAUUGGUCAAUGGCCGGAAGGCUGAACCAGCCAUGCCGCGUGAAGGUCAGUGCCCUAUGGGCGUUAAACUUCUUUUGUGCGGGAGCAAUAAUGGUCACGUGUGGCCAGACGAGAGUACCGUACGAAUAAGCAUCGGCUAACUCCGUGCCAGCAGCCGCGGUAAUACGGGGGAUGCAAGCGUUAUCCGGAUUUAUUGGGUUUAAAGGGUGCGUAGGCUGUGAGGUAAGUCAGCGGUGAAAUGCCCCCGCUCAACGGGGUGAAGUGCCAUUGAUACUGCCUGGCUGGAAUGCGGAUGACGUGGGAGGAAUGUGUGGUGUAGCGGUGAAAUGCAUAGAUAUCACACAGAACACCGAUUGCGAAGGCAUCUCACGAAUCCGCGAUUGACGCUGAUGCACGAAAGCGUGGGUAUCAAACAGGAUUAGAUACCCUAGUAGUC
rnacentral:rRNA from 1 species